GACGAACGCUGGCGGCGUGCCUAAUACAUGCAAGUAGAACGCUGAAGGAGGAGCUUGCUUCUCUGGAUGAGUUGCGAACGGGUGAGUAACGCGUAGGUAACCUGCCUGGUAGCGGGGGAUAACUAUUGGAAACGAUAGCUAAUACCGCAUAAUAUUGACUAUUGCAUGAUAGUCAAUUAAAAGGUGCAAUUGCAUCACUACCAGAUGGACCUGCGUUGUAUUAGCUAGUUGGUGGGGUAACGGCUCACCAAGGCGACGAUACAUAGCCGACCUGAGAGGGUGAUCGGCCACACUGGGACUGAGACACGGCCCAGACUCCUACGGGAGGCAGCAGUAGGGAAUCUUCGGCAAUGGACGGAAGUCUGACCGAGCAACGCCGCGUGAGUGAAGAAGGUUUUCGGAUCGUAAAGCUCUGUUGUAAGAGAAGAACGAGUGUGAGAGUGGAAAGUUCACACUGU
rnacentral:rRNA from 1 species